GGUCCCCGAGAUACACGGUACCUCUUAUACGCGGAUUCGGAGAUACGCGGUUUUCUAAAUUUGACAAUUCUUUGAGCAAAUUGUACUGAUUUGACACAUCAAUUGCAAAUUGCCAAAUAAUUUCCGUUUUGAUCGAAUGUUAAAAACUAUUUCAAAAGGUUUAAAAGAGUUAUAUUCAGUCAGAAUCUUGUCAAAUAAUUCAUAAAGUGACUAAAACCGCCCCCUACUUGCAAAAUUACACGAAAAUUUGUGAUAUUUUAGCUGGAAAUCACGAGAUUCGACUUACGCGGAAAUUCAAGAUACGCGGUAUUUUGCGGCCGUUUUCGGUCCCCAUUAACCGUGUAUCUCGGGGACCGCCUGUACCCCCCUACAGCCCUCCCCGAUUUUAAUACCGGAGCCAAGGUUAUUAGACUCUAUACAGGUUACGACAGAGCGAUUGAGGGGGUCACCAUUUUGUGAACCUUGUUUACAAUUUGUCUGUCAAAAUCGACGCCGGUCAGCUGAUGCUUGGAAUAAACAACAUAAAUAAGAUUGCAGAAGACGAAACUAGCGCUUCUAGUUUUCUUCAUCCUACCACGUUCCAUCGUUAAUAGAAUACGACUUCUUUGAUGGCCUGUUCAAUGCUGAUUCCGGUUCAUAGGAAACGAAUGUGGGGGUCAAGGAUUCAUGCCGCCUCGGGUGCAGCUUCAUUUAAGUGCAAAAGCGAAUGGUCGGGAGAUAAAUGUCGUCCCGGCAGUUGCAGUAGUGUUAAACAACAGCGAGGGUCUAUUACAUUCAUGCCACACGGGUCACGUUCAAACUUGCGUCAAGCACAAUAGCAGAGCGAAAAGGAUGUUAGGCUGGAAAUAGACGAACCGAGAUCAUCGCGGUACCGCGAAAAUCGCGUAUGACUUGAGCUGUCAAUUAUGUUAUAAAAUCUGACAGAUAGGCGAGAUAAUCGCGGUUCGUGUAUGGAACCAUCCGAGUUCUAGUGACGAUUGAAUGUGCCAAGAAGAAAUAUUUUACUAUCAAUUUGCGAAUCAAAUUAUCUAUUUCACGUAGUUUGUGCAAAAUAACAUACAAAACUCAUUUCUCGACACGAGUUUUCACACAAAUCCGCCAGAAAAAGUAAAAAUAAUCAAUUCGCGCUACCGCGAAAAUCUCAGCAAUACCGAAGUUGGGUAUCUCUGCGAAACAGCAGGCGCGAUUGGAGGCGCGGAAGUUUUUGACAGCUCUACUGUUCUACAACUGUUAUAAACAACUGUUACAACCUUAUACGGACGUCACACGAGGCGUAAACUCAAAAAGUUUACGCUUGAUUUGUAUGGGAGAGCGUAAACUUCCUGUCAAAAGAUUUCAGGGUUGUAUGGCUGAAAUUCAGUUUACGCCAAAGUUUACGCUUCGUGUGACGUCCGUAUUAAAAGGAUUUGUGAUACCACAUCAUCAUAAGUGACAAAUCUCCAGAUAAGACGAGUCCAGACGAAUGCUUUCCACGGCAGUCAACUUUACAGAGGAAAAUCGUGUUUGAUAAAUGCUACCGAAAAACAACUAGUAGUCAUUGUUACAAGAAGUGCGGCGUAAACUUUUAAAUGAUCCCGUACUGUACACGGCAAACUUUACUGACAAUAACACAAUAACUUAGACAAAAAUA